UUUAGAAAAAACGGUGCUUACACU
rnacentral:siRNA from 1 species